UCUGUGAACUCCUACGGGAGGCAGCAGUAAGGAAUAUUGGUCAAUGGAGGCAACUCUGAACCAGCCAUGCCGCGUGCAGGAAGACAGCCCUCUGGGUCGUAAACUGCUUUUAUUCGGGAAUAAACCUCAUUACGUGUAAUGAGCUGAAUGUACCGAAGGAAUAAGGAUCGGCUAACUCCGUGCCAGCAGCCGCGGUAAUACGGAGGAUCCAAGCGUUAUCCGGAUUUAUUGGGUUUAAAGGGUGCGUAGGCGGCUUAUUAAGUCAGGGGUGAAAGACGGUGGCUCAACCAUCGCAGUGCCCUUGAUACUGAUGAGCUUGAAUGAACUAGAGGUAGGCGGAAUGUGACAAGUAGCGGUGAAAUGCAUAGAUAUGUCACAGAACACCGAUUGCGAAGGCAGCUUACUAUGGUUUUAUUGACGCUGAGGCACGAAAGCGUGGGGAUCAAACAGGAUUAGAAACCCUGGUAGUCCAUCAGCG
rnacentral:rRNA from 1 species